rnacentral:rRNA from 1 species
GACGAACGCUGGCGGCAUGCCUAAUACAUGCAAGUCGAGCGAACGGAUGAAGUGCUUGCACUUCUGACGUUAGCGGCGAACGGGUGAGUAACACGUAAGGAAUCUACCUAUAAGCAGGGGAUAACAUUCGGAAACGGGUGCUAAUACCGCAUAAUAUCUUCUUCCGCAUGGAAGAAGAUUGAAAGACGGCUCUGCUGUCACUUAUAGAUGACCUUGCGGUGCAUUAGUUAGUUGGUGGGGUAAUGGCCUACCAUGACGAUGAUGCAUAGCCGACCUGAGAGGGUGAUCGGCCACAUUGGGACUGAGACACGGCCCAAACUCCUACGGGAGGCAGCAGUAGGGAAUCUUCCGCAAUGGGCGAAAGCCUGACGGAGCAAUGCCGCGUGAGUGAAGAAGGCCUUCGGGUCGUAAAACUCUGUUAUAAGAGAAGAACAAAUUGUAGAGUAACUGCUACAGUCUUGACGGUAUCUUAUCAGAAAGCCACGGCUAACUACGUGCCAGCCGCCGCGGUAA